ensembl:rRNA 5S_rRNA 5S ribosomal RNA
GUCUACGGCCAUACCACCCUGAACGCACCCGAUCUCGUCUGAUCUUGGAAGCUAAGCAGGGUCAGGAUUGGUUAAUACUUGGAUGGGAGAUAAGGAUAAUUAGCAUAUUCAUCAUCUUAAACA